rnacentral:rRNA from 1 species
GAUGAACGCUGGCGGCGUGCUUAAUACAUGCAAGUCGAGCGAACAGACCAGGCUCUUGCUCCUCUGACGUUUGCGGCGGACGGGUGAGUAACACGUGUAUACCCUCCCUAUAAGACUGGGAUCACUUCGGGAAUCCGGAGCUAAUCCCGGAUAAUAUAUUGAACCGCAUGGUUCAAUGGUGAAAGACGGUUGUGCUGUCACUUAUAGAUGGAUCCGCGCCGCAUUGGCUGGUUGGUGCGGUAACGGCUUACCAAGGCAACGAUGCGUAGCCGAACUGAGAGAGUGAUAGGCCACAUUGGAACUGAGACAGGGACAAGACGCCUACGGGAGGCAGCAGUAGGGAAUCGGCCGCAAUGGGCGAAAGCCUGACGGAGCAACGCCGAGUGAGUGAUGAAGGUCUUCGGAUCGUAAAACUCUGUUAUUAGGGAAGAACAAAUGUGUAAGUAACUAUGCACGUAUUGACGGUACCGAAUCAGAAAGCCACGGCUAACUACGUG